GAUGAACGCUGGCGGCGUGCCUAAUACAUGCAAGUCGAGCGAACAGACGAGGAGCUUGCUCCUCUUACGUUAGCGGCGGACGGGUGAGUAACACGUGGAUAACCUACCUUUAAGACUGGGAUAACUUCGGGAAACCGGAGCUAAUACCGGAUAAUAUAUUGAACCGCAUGGUUCAAUAGUGAAAGAGGGUUUUGCUGUCACGUAUAGAUGGACUCGCGCCGCAUUAGCUAGUUGGUAAGGUAACGGCUUACCAAGGCAACGAUGCGUAGCCGACCUGAGAGGGUGAACGGCCACACUGGAACUGAGACACGGUCCAGACUCCUACGGGAGGCAGCAGUAGGGAAUCUUCCGCAAAGGGCGAAAGCUUGACGGAGCAACGCCGCGUGAGUGAUGAAGGUCUUCGGAUCGUAAAACUCUGUUAUUAGGGAAGAACAAAUGUGUAAGUAACUAUGAACGUCUUGACGGUACCUAAUCAGAAAGCCACGGCUAACUACGUG
rnacentral:rRNA from 1 species